rnacentral:rRNA from 1 species
UCGCGGCCUAUCAGCUUGUUGGUGAGGUAAUGGCCCACCAAGGCGACGACGGGUAGCCGGCCUGAGAGGGUGACCGGCCACACUGGGACUGAGACACGGCCCAGACUCCUACGGGAGGCAGCAGUGGGGAAUAUUGCACAAUGGGCGCAAGCCUGAUGCAGCAACGCCGCGUGAGGGACGAAGGCCUUCGGGUUGUAAACCUCUUUUAGCAGGGAAGAAGCGAAAGUGACGGUACCUGCAGAAAAAGCACCGGCUAACAACGUGCCAGCAGCCGCGGUAAUACGUAGGGUGCAAGCGUUGUCCGGAAUUAUUGGGCGUAAAGAGCUCGUAGGCGGUUUGUCGCGUCUGCUGUGAAAAUCCGAGGCUCAACCUCGGACCUGCAGUGGGUACGGGCAAACUAGAGUGCGGUAGGGGAGAUUGGAAUUCCUGGUGUAGCGGUGGAAUGCGCAGAUAUCAGGAGGAACACCAAUGGCGAAGGCAGAUCUCUGGGCCGUAACUGACGCUGAGGAGCGAAAGCGUGGGGAGCGAACAGGAUUAGAUACCCUGGUAGUCCACGCCGUAAACGGUGGGAACUAGAUGUGGGGUCCGUUCCACGGAUUCCGUGUCGCAGCUAACGCAUUAAGUUCCCCGCCUGGGGAGUACGG